GGGUACGUAGCUCAACGGUUAGAGCACUCGCCUUACACGCGAGGGGUUGUAGGUUCGAAUCCUACCGUACCCA
rnacentral:tRNA from 1 species